rnacentral:rRNA from 1 species
UACGGGGGGAGCAAGCGUUGUUCGGAUUUACUGGGCGUAAAGGGCGCGUAGGCGGUCGUGACAAGUCACUUGUGAAAUCUCCGGGCUUAACUCGGAACGGUCAAGUGAUACUGUCGGACUAGAGUACAGAAGGGGGCAACUGGAAUUCUCGGGUGUAGCGGUGAAAUGCGUAGAUAUCGAAGAGGAACACCUGCGGCGAAGGCGGGAUUGCUGGGCUGAUGACUGACGCUGGAGGCGCGAAAGCCGGGGAGCGAACGGGA